AGAGUCAGCAUUAAAGUAUUGUUGUGCACCUUAAGUUUUGUUUGGUACUUACAUCCGUUCAGACAUUUAUGGCCCUUGACAAGCAAAAGUAUUACUUAAGGAUGUAAAAAGCUUGUGUUGCACGUGUCUCAAAAAGAAAUUGAUCUAGAAUAUACAAAAUAAGUAAUAGGACUGAUAUUAAGCUUGCAAAGUUGUGCUUCAGAUAAAAAUAAAAAAUAAUCUGUGUUUUUGGUUAUGUUUAGAAGGAGAAUCAUUUAUACGAAAGGGACCAAAGUAAAUAUAAAAGUUUACUCAGAAUUGCGUUGUCAACAAGAAACAUGGAGUAGGAGUGGCAAAUCUAGUUACAUUGUAACACGGUGCACAAUCACGUGGUCUAUGGCGACAUGCUAUAGGUAACGCGCCAAGCAUUUUUUGUCAACAAAGCGUCGAUUCAAGAAGAAAAUUCGUCGUCCUUUUACUAUCGAACCAGCCGGGAGACUGUUUUCAAGCUGGUGGACAAAUAUGACCAACGAGCAGAUGACAGGUCCAUACAACGUGUGCCAACUAAUAAACGUUGUAUAUUGGAAGACAGGGACCACGACUUUGAUCGCUCAAAGAGAACUAGGGCCUUGUGCAUAAAAAGGUAGCUACUAUGAGCAUAGACAGGAAGGCUGUUAAAAGGAUCCCUUGGUGUUUCGUGGGACAGCAGUGCAAGGCGGAAUGAAAUUAGCGUAAGAAUUGGACUCGACAACUGAUGAUACACAGCAUGUUGGCGUGUUAAUUGACAUUUCUUGUUUUCGACAAAAAAUUCAGACUGCUGACAUCGGAAGUUUCUUUCAAAAUUCUAUUUCAGACAUUAUCAUGAGUCAACAGACAAACUUUGAAGAAUUUCUUUAUGUUGAAAAUUUUAGUUAUUACACAGUUAACUCUCUUAAGCCUUUAAGGCCAUGUAUCAUGAUGUAGAUUGAACUUUUCGUUUAAACAUUUGUAACAUUUUACAACUAACACAUUCCAGAACUGUCAGCUUCAAUUUUAUUAUUUUUAAAGACAUGUAACUUCAUGUACAAUAAUACGUAAACAAUGAUUGUAAAAUAAUGUAUUAUGUCCCGAAAAUUCAGAAAAGUCAGAAAAUUAGAUAGUAACAGCAAUAUUUGACUUUAUCAAAAUCUUUAACCAAAACAUUGUUAGUUGAAACGGACAUAACUCUGUCAAAUUCAAACAAAGUAGCAGGAAUUGUUUCAUUGGUGUAGACUUUGAUAGCAAAUAACUAUUUUAUGUUACAAGUCAAUGGCUUUGAUAGUAACAGAUAUUUGAAUUUGAAAGCAGCUUAAGAACAAAAAAUAGAGAGGCACGAGGGUUGCAUCAUGCCAAAAAUGCUAUUUGACACAAUGACCAGAAUGCACCACUAAAUAUUCGAGAUCAACAUGUCUUCAUCAAUUUUUCAAAGUAUUCAUUGGUUUAAGGCAUGUGCUUAUUCAAUGCACCACAUUGUAUGCAGGCAGACUCAGGUUGUAUUCAUGACUGCGCAUGUGCUCGGUGAGUUCGUAACGGGUCACCACCAGACAGCCGCAAAUGUCAGAACUGAAAGUCCGAGGAUUGUUCCCCCUCCUGUCGUGAGCGUUUAAGUGUGAACUUAUGCUCUCUUCGUCUGAAAAUUAAUAGAAAUAAUGCUGUGAUACUUUCCAAAUUUUAAAUAAAAUGUAUUAUGCACUUUUGUCGUAAUUAUCUGCAUAUUUGGGAACCAUGUCAUAGAUAAAUACCAAAAUUAUAGUCAUUUUCUUCAGAAUUGUUGUAUUCACAAGAGGAGAGGCCAAGAGCUUGUAUGGAGGCCGUCCUCUGAAUGUUGCUGAUGCUGAUGCAAUUGAGCUUAGGAUAAACAGAUCAAAUAUUUCGUAAAUACACUCAAAACACGUAAAGGAUCAGUUGAUAAUUUUCAAUUGAUUUACAAGUAAACUGUUUCAUUUUUAACCAGCUAUAAUUUCAGUAUUUA